UGCCCAGCAACUCCUUUCCCUAGCUCCUCACGGUGAUAACCUGAGUACGAGCAACCUUAGGAAGGAUCGGGUAAUCAACCCCGAUGGAAACUUUGGUCGUAUGCUGACAGAGAAGG
rnacentral:ribozyme from 1 species